AGCAGCCACACAUUCAAAGAGUGCGUAAUAGCUCACUGGUCGAGUGAUCCAGCGCCGAAAAUGUAACGGGGCUAAAACGCGACACCGAAGCAGCGGGAUGCGUAAGCAUCGGUAGAGGAGCAUUGUGUGAGGGUUGAAGCCAGAGCGGGAGCACUGGUGGACUUCACAGAAGAGAGAAUGCCGGUAUGAGUAGCGAGACCCAUGCGAGAAACAUGGGCGUCGAAGGCCCAAGGUUUCCUGGGGAAGGUUCAUCCACCCAGGGUAAGUCGGGACCUAAGCCGAGGACUGAGGUCGUAGGCGAUGGACAGCAGGUAGAGAUUCCUGCACCACUUACACUUGUUUGACGAAGCAGUGACACAGAAGGAUAGGACGAGCGCGGUGAUGGUCAACCGCGUAGGCGGCACGAGGCCGGGAAGCAGUGAAGUACACUUCCCGCAAAGGCUGAGUGUUGACAGGACCGAAAAGAAGUAGGGAAGCGUCCGAGUUCACGCUGGCGAGAAAAGCUGCUAAGGAGAGUGUGAGUGCCCGUACCGGAAACCGACGCAGGUGGGCGAGGAGAGAAUCCUGAGACGGACGGGAGAACUCUUGUUAAGGAACUCGGCAAAAUGACCCCGUAACUUCGGGAGAAGGGGUGCCUCGAAAGAGGCCGCAGAGAAUAGUCACAAGCGACUGUUUAGCAAAAACACAGGUAUCUGCGAAAGCGAGAGCUGACGUAUAGGUGCUGACGCCUGCCCGGUGCUGGAAGGUUAAGGGGAAGUGUUAGGGGAAACCCGAAGCAGAGAACCGAAGCCCCAGUAAACGGCGGCCGUAACUAUAACGGUCCUAAGGUAGCGAAAUUCCUUGUCGGGUAAGUUCCGACCCGCACGAAUGGCGUAACGACUUGUGAGCUGUCUCAACAGGAGGCCCGGUGAAAUUGAAGUAUGUGUGAAGAUGCACAUUACCCGCGACUGGACGGAAAGACCCCGUAGAGCUUUACUGUAACCUGACAUUGGAUCUUGAUAACGGAUGCACAGGAUAGGUGGGACGCUGGGAGACGAGGACUUUGGUUUUCGUGGAGCGGCCGUUGGGAUACCACUCUUCUGUUAUUGAGAUUCUAACCUCAAGCCGUGAGCCGGAUGAGAGACAGUGUCAGGCGGACAGUUUGACUGGGGCGGUCGCCUCCGAAAGAGUAACGGAGGCGCCCAAAGGUACCCUCAGAAUGGAUGGAAACCAUUCGAAGAGAGCAAAGUCAGAAGGGUGCUUGACUGCGAGACCAACAAGUCGAGCAGGUACGAAAGUAGGGCUUAGUGAUCCGGCGGUAAGAGAGUGGAAUUGCCGUCGCUCAACGGAUAAAAGCUACCUCGGGGAUAACAGGCUGAUCUCCCCCAAGAGUUCACAUCGACGGGGAGGUUUGGCACCUCGAUGUCGGCUCAUCGCAUCCUGGAGCUGAAGUCGGUUCCAAGGGUUGGGCUGUUCGCCCAUUAAAGCGGUACGCGAGCUGGGUUCAGAACGUCGUGAGACAGUUCGGUCCCUAUCUGUCGUGGGCGCAGGAAAUUUGAGAAGAGCUGUCCUCAGUACGAGAGGACCGGGAUGGACGCAUCAAUGGUGGACCAGUUGUCACGCCAGUGGCAUAGCUGGGUAGCUAAAUGCGGAAGGGAUAAACGCUGAAGGCAUCUAAGUGUGAAACCCACUUCAAGAUGAGAUUUCCCAUUGCGCAAGCAAGUAAGACCCCUUAAAGACGAUAAGGUAGAUAGGUCAGGAGUGUAAGCAUGGUGACAUGUUAAGCGGACUGAUACUAAUAGGUCGAGGGCUUGACCGA
rnacentral:rRNA from 1 species